UGGGCCCCGGGCCGGCCACCCGGAGUCCCGCGCUCCUUUCGGGAUCGUUUUGUGGUGAAUCAAGAAAACAUGUGUGUGCAGGGGCCUGUCCAGCCCCGCCGCGGCCAGGCCAUGAGUCCACCUGCUGCCCCCUGCCAUCGGUCGUUUGCUGCCCCGGGGACGCUGGCCUCUGAGAACUAGGCUCCCGACCUUUGUUUUUAGAUGAACCUGGAAUACAUGCUGAGAGAAGAAAGCUGGUCCCAAUGAUUGUACAUGAUUCUGUUGAUGUCCAGAUCUCUUCAGACUCACAGGGGAGGAACUGGAACUCAGAGGAGAUUCAAGACAGUGCACGCCAAGCCUGCCUUCACCUCUGGCCGGUCUCAACCUGAAAGAAACUCACUGCCAUCUCCCAUCAGCCUCCAUUUUACUGAAUGGGUCGGAAAGUAGGGGCAGGAAGGACUGGUGUCUGAGAUGACAGCACAGGGACAACAGAAGUCAUGUGAGUGAGAGUGUGAUGCAAAUGCUGUUGUCAUAUGCUUCCUGUAGGUGACCAUGGACAAGACCAGGCUCCUUAGGAAUGUCCUGGGAUAAACAAUCAAAGCAGUACAGACACUGAAGUAUCUUCUUACUAUUAAAAAAAUGCAUUCUUCCUAA